rnacentral:rRNA from 1 species
GAUGAACGCUGGCGGCGCGCCUAAUACAUGCAAGUCGAGCGAACAGACGAGGAGCCUGCUCCUCUGACGUUAGCGGCGGACGGGUGAGUAACACGUGGAUAACCUACCUAUAAGACUGGGAUAACUUCGGGAAACCGGAGCUAAUACCGGAUAAUAUAUUGAACCGCAUGGUUCAAUAGUGAAAGACGGUUUUGCUGUCACUUAUAGAUGGAUCCGCGCCGCAUUAGCUAGUUGGUAAGGUAACGGCUUACCAAGGCAACGAUGCGUAGCCGACCUGAGAGGGUGAUCGGCCACACUGGAACUGAGACACGGUCCAGACUCCUACGGGAGGCAGCAGUAGGGAAUCUUCCGCAAUGGGCGAAAGCUUGACGGAGCAACGCCGCGUGAGUGAUGAAGGUCUUCGGAUCGUAAAACUCUGUUAUUAGGGAAGAACAAAUGUGUAAGUAACUAUGCACGUCUUGACGGUACCUAAUCAGAAAGCCACGGCUAACUACGUG